rnacentral:rRNA from 1 species
GAUGAACGCUGGCGGCGUGCCUAAUACAUGCAAGUCGAGCGAACAGACGAGGAGCUUGCUCCUCUGACGUUAGCGGCGGACGGGUGAGUAACACGUGGAUAACCUACCUAUAAGACUGGGAUAACUUCGGAAACCGGAGCUAAUACCGGAUAAUAUAUUGAACCGCAUGGUUCAAUAGUGAAAGACGGUUUUGCUGUCACUUAUAGAUGGAUCCGCGCCGCAUUAGCUAGUUGGUAAGGUAACGGCUUACCAAGGCAACGAUGCGUAGCCGACCUGAGAGGGUGAUCGGCCACACUGGAACUGAGACACGGUCCAGACUCCUACGGGAGGCAGCAGUAGGGAAUCUUCCGCAAUGGGCGAAAGCUUGACGGAGCAACGCCGCGUGAGUGAUGAAGGUCUUCGGAUCGUAAAACUCUGUUAUUAGGGAAGAACAAAUGUGUAAGUAACUAUGCACGUCUUGACGGUACCUAAUCAGAAAGCCACGGCUAACUACGUG